GCGGCCGGGAGGCGGCCCGGAGGCGGCCCGGAGGCACGGCGGGACUCGGGGACGGCGGCGCGGAGGUCGUGGGGAGUUGGAGCCAGGGUCUAACCAGAAAGCCAGUUCCUUUAGGGGCAGGAGAUUGUGCUGUGUAUACACCUCUGUUAACACAUGGUGAGCAGGUGGAUGUGGUGGACCGCCUGGAUUUUGUGCUGACAAACAUCUUGGAGCUGAGGAGGGAAGUAGAGGAACUACGGAACAGCCUGCAGAACCUUGCUGCAGAUAUUGUGGGUGAAGUCAGGUUAGCGUCUGCCCUUCUUGUUUUGUCAUCUUUUGUCUGCUGUUCUGUGUUUUGUGUUCUACAGCACAGGGAAACAUCUUGAACAGUUGGGUGUCUGUUAAAUGGAAAAAGUGGAAAAAAAUGUCUCUUUAGUUUCUACUGCUGUUAUAUCUUGGCAGUGAGAUUAUGUUGAAAUAAGACCAAGUGCUAGGUCCUGCUCUUUGGUCACAGCAACCUCAUACAUCACUACAGGCUUGGGACAGACAGAGUUGCUGACAAACUGCACGGAGGAAAAGGAUCUGAGGGUAUUAGUCAGCAGCUGGCUGACUAGUAGUGUACGUGGGUAGCUAAGAAGGCCAGUGGCAUCCUGGCUUGUAUCAGAAAUAGUGCAGCCAGCACGAGCAGGAGGUGAUGAUCCUUCUGCAGUCAGCUCUGGUGAGGCUGCAUCUUGAAUACUGUGUUCAGUUUUGGGUCCCUCAAUGCGAGGAAGACUUGGAUCGUAUCCAAAGAUGGGCAACAGAGCCGUGAGGGGACUGGAGCACAAGUCUGAUGGGGAGCAGCUGAGGGAACUGGGAUUGUUUGGCCUGGAGACAAGGAGGCUCAGGGGAGACCUCAUAGCUUUCUACAACUUCCUGCUGUAGAGGUUGUGGCAAGGUGGAGGUUGGCUUCUUCUCCUGGGUAUCAGCAACAGGACAAGAGAUGAUGGCCUUGAGUUAUGCCAAGGGAAGUUCAGGUUGGCUGUUAGGAAAAAUCUCAGAAAAAGUGGUUGGGCAUUAGAACAGGCUGCCUAGAGAAGCGAUAGCAUCACUCUGGGGGAUUUUCAAGAAAAGUAGAGGUGUGGCACUGAGUGGUAUAGUGGAGUUGGGUCCUUGGUUGGACAUGGUUAAGGACUUUAUCAAAUCCACUUAGCCAAAAACAGCCCCUUCUCUAGGAGAUAAAGCAAGUAUUGCUCAGGAGUAGGGCCAACCAGUAGGAGCAGACCAGCACACAUGUACAAGGCUACCCUGCUUGACCCGCUAUAGCUUCUACUGCGGUCUGGUUUUAGCAGUGCACAUAACCAAAAAGCUGUCAAACUCUUGUAGUCCUUUCACAGAUUUGUAGAUUCCCAUUCAGAGGAAUCAACAGGAUGGGAUGUUUUAAGAUACACUUUGCCAUUGUUUGUUUCUAGAAAGCAGCCUAGAGAUGUCCCACAGAACUAGCAUAUAAACACUGGACCUAUCAAAAGCAUGAUUUUGCUCUUUUCCUCUAACUGCUUACUAAGAUGCUUUCCACCCAUUUUUCCAUUUAAAAAAUAAAAAUAGAAAUCACUUACAGAGAAUUGGAAUGAGAAGCUCUCAGCAAUGGUGUAGAAACAGUAGAAUUAUAGUGUGGCAGCUUUGGCAAUGAAGGCAAUGAAGAACCUGUAUCUUCUCAAUAUCUGAAUGAGGAGAUGCUGACUUGGGAGAUUUCUUUUUACCAAAAGCUUGCUUGAAGGAGCUGUGUAACUGAAAAACAAGACCACAGCAGUAGACACACCAUGAAGAAUGCAUCCAUACAAAAAGCCACAGACUGAAACUCCAACAUGCAAAUAUUCCAAACAAUAAAGCCAUACUCACAGAUUUUAACAGAGCUAAAAGGGAAUCAAAAAGCUUAAAUUGAAUAACCAACUUCCUGUGUUUUCAGGUUUAAGGCUUGAUUUAAUUAAGGUUUAAUUUUCAAUCUUCGUUUUGCACCAAUGUAUUCACUUUUAACACAAUAAAAGCACUUUCCUGUCAUCUUCA